AGAGUUUGAUCAUGGCUCAGGACGAACGCUGGCGGCGUGCUUAACACAUGCAAGUUGGACGGUAUGUCAUGGAAGCUUGCUGAAGUGGCAUAUAGUAGCGAACGGGUGAGUAAUGCAUGAGAAUUUAUCCUUAGGAGGGGGACAACAGCUGGAAACGGCUGCUAAUACCCCGUAUGCCGGAAGGUGAAAGGUGCGAGAGUGCCGCCUGGGGUUGAGCUCAUGUCCUAUCAGCUAGUUGGUGGGGUAACGGCCUACCAAGGCGACGACGGGUAGCCGGCCUGAGAGGGUGAACGGCCACACUGGAACUGAGACACGGUCCAGACUCCUACGGGAGGCAGCAGUGGGGAAUUUUGGGCAAUGGGGGGAACCCUGACCCAGCGACGCCGCGUGAGGGAAGACAGCCUUCGGGUUUUAAACCUCUUUUGUACGGGAAGAUAAUGACGGUACUGUACGAAUAAGUCCCGGCUAACUACGUGCCAGCAGCCGCGGUAAUACGUAGGGGACGAGCGUUGUCCGGAAUUACUGGGCGUAAAGGGCGCGCAGGCUGCGUUACAAGUCAGCUGUUAAAUGCAUGGGCUUACCCCAUGAGUGCGGUUGAAACUGUAGUGCUAGAGUACUGUAGAGGCAAGCGGAAUUCCCAGUGUAGCGGUGAAAUGCGUAGAUAUUGGGAGGAACACCGGUGGCGUAGGCGGCUUGCUGGACAGUAACUGACGCUGAGGCGCGAAAGCCAGGGGAGCAAACGGGAUUAGAUACCCCGGUAGUCCUGGCCGUAA
rnacentral:rRNA from 1 species